rnacentral:hammerhead_ribozyme from 1 species
GCCCUGCUAACUAGUCCCAAACAGGACGAAACGGCUGUCCAGUGC